UACAGGGGGUGCAAACGUUGCUCGGAAUCAUUGGGCGUAAAGCGCACGUAGGCGGUCUGUUAUGUCGGAUGUGAAAGCCCUUGGCUCAACUGAGGAAGUGCAUCCGAAACUGGCAGGCUGGAGUACUAAAGAGGGUCGCGGAAUUCCCGGUGUAGAGGUGAAAUUCGUAGAUAUCGGGAGGAACACCGGUGGCGAAGGCGGCGACCUGGGUAGAUACUGACGCUGAGGUGCGAAAGCCAGGGGAGCGAACGGG
rnacentral:rRNA from 1 species